UGGGUGCAUAGCUCAGCUGGUUAGAGCGCUUGCUUUACACGCAAGAUGUCCCUGGUUCGAAUCCGGGUGCGCCCAA
rnacentral:tRNA from 1 species